UACGUAGGGUGCAAGCGUUGUCCGGAAUUAUUGGGCGUAAAGAGCUCGUAGGCGGUCUGUCGCGUCGGCUGUGAAAUCCCGAGGCUCAACCUCGGGUCUGCAGUCGAUACGGGCAAACUAGAGUAUUGCAGGGGAGACUGGAAUUCCUGGUGUAGCGGUGAAAUGCGCAGAUAUCAGGAGGAACACCCGUGGCGAAAGCGGCUCUCUGGAACGGUACUGACGCUGAGACGCGAAAGCGUGGGGAGCGAACAGG
rnacentral:rRNA from 1 species